AUCGCUUCUCAGCUUUUGGCUAAGAUCAAGUGUAGUAUCUGUUCUUAUCAGUUUAAUAUCUGAUACGUCCUCGAUGAGAGGACUUUAUUUGCCCGGUGAUUCCCCUCCCUCCUCAGCUGCCCCCACAGAACAGGUACAGUGCUCUGCGGAAACAGCUGGACACUG
rnacentral:snRNA from 1 species